rnacentral:sRNA from 1 species
UCCGUAGGUGAACCUGCGGAAGGAUCAUUAACAAAGCUUGAAGUUCGCUCAACCGCGUCUUCAACCAAUCCAUCCACACCUUGUGCAAUAUUGACAUCGAGGCAAGGUUCUUUCGGGAAUUUUGCUGGUCUUGUGGGGGGGGAAAAACCUAAAGGAUAGGCAGCAAUGCUUAACCUUUAAGCCCCCCAAAAGUAUUUAACCUCUACGUUUUUUGUUUGGUCUGAAACUUUUUAUUGAUACAAUAAAAACAACUUUCAACAACGGAUCUCUUGGUUCUCGCAUCGAUGAAGAACGCAGCGAAAUGCGAUACGUAAUGUGAAUUGCAGAAUUCAGUGAAUCAUCGAAUCUUUGAACGCACAUUGCACUCUUUGGUAACCCGAAGAGUAUGCCUGUUUCAGAUAUAAGUCACUAUGAACUCCGAGGGGGUGGUUUUGCCAACUCAGUUUUCAUGACUUGAACUUUCCAGACUCAUUACGGGUCUGGUGGUUUAAAAUAAAAGCAUGGACGGUCUUCUUGACUCAUCCGCACGCAAAAGUGUAAUACGAGCUGUCAAAGGCUUCAUUCACUUCUUGCUAGGAGGGUCAGAUGUAUCGAUUUUAAUCCAUGGUCGCAGGAAAAAAUCGGGGGACUACGCAAGUAGAACCUCUAUCCAUAGCGGCAUCUGAAAUCAGGUAGGACUACCCGCUGAACUUAAGCAUAUCAAUAAGCGGAGGAAAAGAAACUAACAAGGAUUCCCCUAGUAACGGCGAGUGAAGCGGGAAAAGCUCAAAUUUGAAACCUGGCCUCUUUGAGGAAAAUGUCGCAGGGUUGUAGUUUAUAGAGGCGUUUUCGAUGGAAUCCUGGGUAUAAGUCUUUUGGAACAAGGCAUCAUAGAGGGUGAGAAUCCCGUCUUUGACUCAGAGGUUUUCCAUUAUGUGAUACGUCUUCAUAGAGUCGAGUUGUUUGGGAAUGCAGCUCAAAAUGGGUGGUAAAUCUCAUCUAAAGCUAAAUAUUGGCGAGAGACCGAUAGCGAACAAGUACCGUGAGGGAAAGAUGAAAAGAACUUUGAAAAGAGAGUUAAACAGUACGUGAAAUUGUUGAAAGGGAAACGCUUGAAGU